GACCCAGUAGUGGAUGGUCCAUGUCUCCCUCUCUUGAGUUUUCCUAGAUCUGAUUCCAGAUAAGAUAAGGAGAAGUCGCCUGUUCGAUUCGGGCCUGGGUCA